UAAGAUUGCCGAGGAAUCAAUAUCUCCGAC
rnacentral:sRNA from 1 species